GAUUACUUCACAGCGAAUCGUGGUGCCGGAGGCGAGAGCGUGAAACAGCAGCAGGGUCCACGUGGAAGUUUGCCUGAUAUUCGGCUCAACAUUCAAAGACCGAUUCUAGCAGACCAGACUAAUGUGCUGACAAGCGGUAGUUUUGUACCUAUCGAGGCCAAUGUCAUUCAGCGAACCCCCGGACCAAAUCGACUGUCCAAGAAGAAUUUGAAAAGAUCGGCGGGGGUAGUGGUG